UACGGAGGGUGCAAGCGUUAAUCGGAAUUACUGGGCGUAAAGCGUGCGCAGGCGGUUUGUUAAGUCCGUUGUGAAAUCCCCGAGCUCAACUUGGGAAUUGCAAUGAAUACUGGCAAGCUGGAGUAUGGUAGAGGAAGGUGGAAUUCCCGGUGUAGCAGUGAAAUGCGUAGAGAUCGGGAGGAACACCAGUGGCGAAGGCGGCCUUCUGGACCAAUACUGACGCUCAUGCACGAAAGCGUGGGGAGCAAACAGG
rnacentral:rRNA from 1 species